rnacentral:rRNA from 1 species
GAUGAACGCUGACAGAAUGCUUAACACAUGCAAGUCAACUUGAAUUUGGGUUUUUUAACUUUGAUUUGGGUGGCGGACGGGUGACUAACGCGUAAAGAACUUGCCUCACAGCUAGGGACAACAUUUGGAAACGAAUGCUAAUACCUGAUAUUAUUAUUAUAAGGCAUCUUAGACUUAUGAAAGCUAUAUGCGCUGUGAGAGAGCUUUGGGUCCCAUUAGCUAGUUGGCGAGGUAACGGCCCACCAAGGCGACGAUGGGUCGCCGGCCUGAGAGGGUGAACGGCCACAAGGGGACUGAGACACGGCCCUUACGCCUACGGGAGGCAGCAGUGGGGAACAUUGGACAAUGGACCAAGAGUCUGAUCCAGCAAUUCUGUGUGCACGAUGACGUUUUUCGGAAUGUAAAGUGCUUUCAGUUGGGAAGAAAAAAAUGACGGUACCAACAGAAGAAGUGACGGCUAAAUACGUG